ensembl:snRNA U6 U6 spliceosomal RNA
GUGCUCGCUUUGGCAGCACAUAUAUUAAAAUUGGAAUGAUACAGAGAAGAUUAGCAUGGCCCCUGCACAAGGAUGACAUGCAAAUUCGUGAAGCGUUCCAUAUUUUU